GACGAACGCUGGCGGCGUGCUUAAUACAUGCAAGUCAACUUGACUUUAGAUAGCAAUAUCGAAAAGUAGGGUGGCGCACGGGUGCGUAACGCGUAGGUAAUCUGCCCUGAGGUCUGACAUAACCCGUCGAAAGGCGGGCUAACAUCAGAUGAUAUAUAAUCACGACAUCGUGGAAAUAUCAAAUCUUCGGAGCCUUGGGAUGAGCCUGCGUCUGAUUAGGUAGUUGGCGGAGUAAUAGCCCACCAAGCCUACGAUCAGUAGCUGGUCUGAGAGGAUGAUCAGCCACACUGGAACUGAGACACGGUCCAGACUCCUACGGGAGGCAGCAGUAAGGAUAUUGCUCAAUGGGGGAAACCCUGAAGCAGCAACGCCGCGUGAAGGAUGAAAUACUUUUGAUGUAAACUUCUGUAAGAUGGGAAAAAUAUUACUCCUACGGGAGAAUUGAUUGUACCAUCAGAGUAAGCCCCGG
rnacentral:rRNA from 1 species